rnacentral:rRNA from 1 species
CCUACGGGAGGCUGCAGUGGGGAAUAUUGGACAAUGGGGGCAACCCUGAUCCAGCCAUACCGCGUGUGUGAAGAAGGCCCUCGGGUUGUAAAGCACUUUCAGUGAGGAAGAACGCCUGGUGGUUAAUACCCAUCAGGAAAGACAUCACUCACAGAAGAAGCACCGGCUAACUCCGUGCCAGCAGCCGCGGUAAUACGGAGGGUGCGAGCGUUAAUCGGAAUUACUGGGCGUAAAGCGCGCGUAGGUGGCUUGAUAAGCCGGUUGUGAAAGCCCCGGGCUCAACCUGGGAACGGCAUCCGGAACUGUCAAGCUAGAGUGCAGGAGAGGAAGGUAGAAUUCCCGGUGUAGCGGUGAAAUGCGUAGAGAUCGGGAGGAAUACCAGUGGCGAAGGCGGCCUUCUGGACUGACACUGACACUGAGGUGCGAAAGCGUGGGUAGCAAACAGGAUUAGAUACCCCGGUAGUC